rnacentral:lncRNA from 1 species
AUGCGCAUUCAUCUCAAGAGCACAAGGCAUUUAUUUUUUAAAGAAAUUUUCCACCCGAACACUGGACCUCUUUAUUUUGGGAAGCAUGGGUUUGAUGGGAUUGGAAUACUCUGUGUAAGGAGAAAGAAGGUCAGAUGGCAGAAGACAAACUGGGCAGAGGAAGGCAAAAAAAAGGAGCUGGGGCAGCAAAUGCCAAGCACACGUUCAGUGAGUUUUGUGAUGAGAAACAACUGGGGAUGGGUGGGAGCUGAGAGAGGCAAGUGGUAUAAAUUAUGGUGUGCUUAUACUAAUGGGGUAAAUAAUUGGGGGGUUGGGGUGGGGGAGAGGAGCACAAGCAUGAGCCUUCAAGCAGGCAAAGGCUGGAGGGAUUUGGCCACUUGUCCCCCCUCCACAGAUCCCUGCUGCUGGGCAUGGCGAUAAAACACGCAGCAGAUGACAAGGCAUGGGAACCAGCGAGCAUCGCCUGGCAAGGUCGUGGAGUAUUCUCCCAUGCAAUGUGGUCAUGCGAAGUCCCACCCAUUGACUCACUCUUUGGGCCAAAGAGGUAACCUUAGUCUGGCUAUUCGAGGCUGUGUGUGCAACGCACCACAGCUCAGCAAACAUUCAAGACCAGGCUGUGCUCCAAAAAGCUCCUAAUCCAAGGAGGAACUUGCAGCAAGAAAUAAUGAACUCUCGCCUGAGGGCUGGGGGUAAAAGCCAGAGCUGCGCGGUGCGAAGCUGAAGGGUGUUGGGACUUAGGAAUCCAGCUCAGCUGCGGAUGGAGCCAGCUGUGAAAUACCAUUGCCAAUCAAUCUUCCGGGCUGCACAUGUUGCAAGACAUCCCCUUUCACUUCCCAGAAGCUGUUUAGACCCAAGGGGUAGGGUCGGGCCCAGCAUUAAGGGACAUAGCUGUGAUUUCUCGCUGGAGCACAAUUUCCUCCCGUCCCACACGGAAAUAUCUCCAGCGGUGAAGAGCCUUCUCAGCCACCAAGCCACAGGGAUAAAAGAAAUCUUGCCACAUACCCUGGGAGGCCUUAAUGGGUGAGGGCCCCUCUGCAGCUGAAACGUGCUUGGGUGCACUCACAGGAGGCCUGUGUGGGCUUGCUGUUGGCGCCAGUUGUGUUCCCAUUGCUGUCAUGAUGGCCACGGCUCAGAUCCGCUGGCCACUUGUGCUCCUCCAGACGAGGUCAUCCGUGGGAAAUGCACUACCACCAACGAAGCUUGGAUGUCCCCUCAUCUCAAAGCAUGUGUGCUCAUGACAAGCUCCUCUUUGGAUCGGAAGUAAAUUUCUUCAGCUUCUCUAUACGUCCCUCUGAUUUGCAGUUUGAGGAUUGCACCCAAAUAUUUGAGGCAGGGACACCAAAGCCAACAGGAUCCCAAAGGGCCCAGGACCCUUGCUGGCAGAGCUAACCUUCCACCCUGGGGACACUUAGGACUCAUCCAGUGACCCUGGACCUUAUCUACAAAGGCACAACAGAUGGGUUGUUAGCUCAGGAUUUGCAAAGCAUCAUGCAGGGCAGCAGGAGAUCCCACUGCUCCUAUACCCAGAGCCUUGGUGGCUUCUGCAAAUCCGUCCCAUUCAGUUACAGCACUCAAUUCCCAGCCUCUCUGCUUGCUCACAAUUAUUUAUUGUGUUGGGUUUGUUUUGUGUUUUCCAGACAAAACAGGAAACAGUUUUGUCUGAAUUUCCUUGCUUUGAAUACCGGUGAAGUGUGUGUGUCUAUGGCUGCAUGCGAGGGAAAUGAGGUACAUCUCAUAAUACUGAAACCAAAUCCAAGUUUCCCACAGUCAAAGCCUACUAAAAAUGCAAUUUCUGUCCAGCAAUGAGAAGACCUUGAAGACAGUGUGUGUGCCAUGAAUCAGAGCAGAUUUACCUCACUGCAAGCUUCCCAGCACAGGUCUGUAGAAGACAGCUCAAGGUGCUCCCAGCCAGGGAGCCACCAGCAGCACUGAGGUACUGAGGUUUAAUGCAUUACCAGCAGGAAGGUGGCUUCAGCAAAUACAUUUAAUCCUGCAAUUGCCCAGGGCUAGAGAGGAGUACCCAGGCAGUGCCUGCAUUGCAGCUAACCGACAGCGGUUUGCCCAGCUGCUCAAUGGCCCUUGAGUUUUUCCCCAUUGCUGCCACUGGAACUGCAUUUCAGGGCAUCUCUGCUGCCAAAUCAAUUUGCAUUGCUCAGGUGCACAGCACUGCAGCAAUUCAUAGCAGGGAGACCAGAACCAGGCCUCCAUGCACCAAGGGCUAAAGGUUUGAUAACCCAAACCCUAGCAUUGCCAUGAUAGCUUUUUUCUUCCUGAGGCUCCUAAGUAUUAUUGCUCUUAUUAUUUUAAUUGACCUCUGAGAAAAGAGCAGUGUCAAAACAGGAGCUCAGAUUACCGAAGUUAUUAUCCUGUUGUGUACAAUGAGUGAUUAUUUUAUAUAUAUAUAUAUAAACUCUUUAUUUUGCAAAGGCAGCAGUUCAAUAAAUAAUUAAUGUUUCUUAAUCCUGUAGCUAUU